rnacentral:rRNA from 1 species
CAGCGCCACGGUAGUACGGAGGGUGCAAGCGUUAAUCGGAAUUACUGGGCGUAAAGCGCACGCAGGCGGUCUGACAAGUCAGAUGUGAAAUCCCCGGGCUUAACCUGGGAACUGCAUUUGAAACUGUCAGGCUGGAGUCUUGUAGAGGGGGGUGGAAUUCCAGGUGUAGCGGUGAAAUGCGUAGAGAUCUGGAGGAAUACCGGUGGCGAAGGCGGCCCCCUGGACAAAGACUGACGCUCAGGUGCGAAAGCGUGGGGAGCAAACAGGAUUAGAGACCCGCGUAGUCCCUGUCUCUUAUACC